rnacentral:rRNA from 1 species
UACGAAGGGGGGGCUAGCGUUGCUCGGAAUUACUGGGCGUAAAGGGCGCGUAGGCGGACAGCUUUAGUCAGGAGGUGAAAGCCCAGGCUCAACCUUGGAAUUUGCCUUUGAUACUGGCUAUCUUGAGUUGGGAGAGGUGAGUGGAAUGCCGAGUGUAAGAGGUGAAAUUCGUAGAUAUUCGGCGGAACACCAGUGGCGAAGGCGACUCCACUGGCCCGAUACUGACGUGAGGCGCGAAAGCGUGGGGAGCAAACAGG